GACGAACGCUGGCGGCGUGCUUAACACAUGCAAGUCGAACGGAAAGGCCUGCUUUCCCUUGUGGAUUGCGGGUACUCGAGUGGCGAACGGGUGAGUAACACGUGAGUGAUCUGCCCCCAACUUGGGUAUAAGCCUGGGAAACUGGGUCUAAUUCCCGAUAGGACUGCAGGGUGGUGCCUGUGGUGGAAAACGAUUUUCUAGUGGUUGGGGAUGAGCUCGCGGCCGAUCAGCUUGUUGGUGGGGUAAUGGCCUACCAAGGCGGCGACGGGUAGCCGGCCUGGGAGGGUGGACGGCCACAUUGGGACUGGGAUACGGCCCAGACUCCUACGGGAGGCAGCAGUGGGGAAUAGUGCACAAUGGGCGGAAGCCUGAUGCAGCGACGCCGCGUGGGGGAUGACGGCCUUCGGGUUGUAAACUCCUUUCGACCGCGAGGAAGCCACCUGGUUGGAAGGGUGGUGACGGUAGUGGUAGAAGAAGCACCGGCUAACUACGU
rnacentral:rRNA from 1 species